rnacentral:lncRNA from 1 species
UUUGUGUCUAGUUUCUAGAAAGCUAAAGAUAUCGUAUUUUGGAUAUCUAUAGUUAAUGGUAUGGUCGAUUGAAAAUGACUGGUGGAGCUCGUUUUCCAGAAUUUGCUUUCGGGGAGGCUACUUUGGAAGCUCAUAUCUUGUAAUCUAUAAGGAAUCUAAAAAAGUACAACACACGAAAGGUGUAGAUCUUCGUGUCUAGUUUCCAGAAAGCUAAAGAAAUUGCAAUAUGGACAUCUGUAGUGGAGGUUAUGAUCGACGGUAAAUGACUGCUGGAGCAAUAUGAUGUACAACUUGUAUAGUACAAGUGCAAGGUACAACUCGACGAAGCAUGGACAGAUUCUUUUAUUCACGAAUUUUGUUCAUUUCUUUCAUUUGGUUUGGAUGAUUUUGGAGAUAAUUUCAAGGGAGAUUUCAUCAAGCAUUAAAGGUGAGUUGUUUCUACUUAUUUCCAAGUUAAAUACAUGGAUUAGAGCUGAAAACUCAAGUCAUUUAUGGACAAAAAUGGUGGUUAAGGGCUUGAAACUUAAGAGAAUUAAAUGGUGAUUUGAGGGGUCAAAUGAAAUCCGAUUAUUUUAUACGUACGGACUCGUGGCGAGAUGAGGAAUCCGUUAAUGUGACUUUCGUAAUUUUUCGAGAUGUGGGCCCGGGGCUCGGGUUUUGCGAAUUUCAUGAAUUUCGAUAUUUUUCGAGUCUUUUCGAUUGGGUUAUAUCCCCUUAGCCUAUUAUAAUAUAUUCGUUGUGGUUUUGGCCAGAUUCGACGCACGAGGAGGUUGAUAUGAAAGGAAAGCGCAUUGCGGAGUAGUCCUUGGCAGGCUAGAGGUGAAUAAUAGAUGGUUCUGAGAGCUUGAAACCCCGGACUUUCACAUCGUAACGCUAUAUUGAGGCGUGACACACACUCUAUGACAAGUGCAGGGUCGAAUACUAUUGGGGAUCGUGAGUUGGUCCAUCCCGUGUGAUAUUUAUACUAUACUGGUGAUUGAUACACAUACUUUAUUGAUAUUUAUUGGGCUUGAUGACAUGUUUGGGGCCAUGUGCCGACUGGAAAAUCCUUUGGGGAUCGAUAUUACUGCUUUAGCAUGAUUUGCAUAUUAUUUGGUUUCAGUCCAAGGUUUUAAAUAUUGUUUUGCAAACUUAGCUAUAAUUCUAAGUAUCGAAAACUCAAAAGAUAAUUUAAAUGCAUUUCGGGCUGGAAACUUCUAUUUUGUAAAUGCCCAAGGGGCUUACUAUAUUAUUUUCUGGACUGAUAAUAAGGUGACUUGAAACAUAUAAUUCUAAGUAUCGAAAACUCAAAAGAUAAUUUAAAUGCAUUUCGGGCUGGAAACUUCUAUUUUGUAAAUGCCCAAGGGGCUUACUAUAUUAUUUUCUGCACUGAUAAUAAGGUGACUUGAAACAGUGGUAACAAUGACACUGUAUGCUAUACUUGGAACAGUGGUAACAAUGGCACUGUAUAAUAUAAAUUGGUUAGGUAAUAUUGGCUGACCGGUCAGGUAUGACUGACCAGUAUAUUGCGCUUGGGCUGUAGGAGCCCCUCCGGAGUCUGUACACACCCCCAGUGAGCGUCGUCGAUGAUAAAUAAAUACAGAUGACUCGGACUGCACGCCGCAGUGAGUACUGGAAUGUACCAUCAUAUGCAUUAUAUUGCAUUAAUGUAUUUGUAUUAAUAUUUGUUGUUUAACUACUCAGUUCCAUAUGUCGCAGUGUAUUGGAUGUUUAGCUUACUUUGUGUAUUUGCUGUGAUUUCUUAUCUUCAAACUGUAUUUUAUUGUAUUACUCACUGGCUCGAAGUACUCACUUUACUCCCUGCACCUUGUGUGCAGAUCCAGGCAGUCUCAAGCACAGUAGAUCCAGUUGAUCGGCGGAUCCAGCAUUUCGGGAGUAUCAAGGUAGUUGUACCGUGUUCGCAGCAUUGAUUUCUUCCCUCAUAUCCUAUCCUUUUUAUUUCCGUAUUUCCAAAAUUUGGAUACACUAUGUAUCAGGGUAAUAAUCUGUAUUCUAGAGGCUCAUAUUCGUG